rnacentral:rRNA from 1 species
AUUGAACGCUGGCGGCAUGCCUUACACAUGCAAGUCGAACGGCAGCACGGGUGCUUGCACCUGGUGGCGAGUGGCGAACGGGUGAGUAAUACAUCGGAACGUACCUUAUCGUGGGGGAUAACGCAGCGAAAGUUGCGCUAAUACCGCAUACGCCCUGAGGGGGAAAGCGGGGGACCGUAAGGCCUCGCGCGAUUAGAGCGGCCGAUGUCUGAUUAGCUUGUUGGUGGGGUAAAAGCCCACCAAGGCGACGAUCAGUAGCUGGUCUGAGAGAACGUUCAGCGGCACUGGGACUGAGCCACGGCCCAGACUCCUACGGGAGGCAGAAGUGGGGAAUUUUGGACGAUGGGGGCAACCCUGAUCCAGCAAUGCCGCGUGAGUGAAGAAGGCCUUCGGGUUGUAGAGCUCUUUUGUCAGGGAAGAAACACCGGCUCUAACACAGUCCGGGAAUGACGGUACCUGAAGAAUAAGCACCGGCUAACUACGUGCCAGCAGCCGCCGUAA